rnacentral:rRNA from 1 species
UGAGGAAUAUUGGUCAAUGGGCGAGAGCCUAAACCAGCCAAGUAGCGUGCAGGAUGACGGCCCUAUGGGUUGUAAACUGCUUUUAUGUGGGGAUAAAGUGCGUGACGUGUCAUGCAUUGCAGGUACCACAUGAAUAAGGACCGGCUAAUUCCGUGCCAGCAGCCGCGGUAAUACGGAAGGUCCGGGCGUUAUCCGGAUUUAUUGGGUUUAAAGGGAGCGUAGGCUGUCUAUUAAGCGUGUUGUGAAAUUUACCGGCUCAACCGGUGGCUUGCAGCGCGAACUGGUCGACUUGAGUAUGCAGGAAGUAGGCGGAAUUCAUGGUGUAGCGGUGAAAUGCUUAGAUAUCAUGACGAACUCCGAUUGCGCAGGCAGCUUACUGUAGCAUAACUGACGCUGAUGCUCGAAAGUGCGGGUAUCAAACAGG